rnacentral:rRNA from 1 species
CUACAGAGGGUGCGAGCGUUAAUCGGAAUUACUGGGCGUAAAGCGCGCGUAGGCGGCUGAUUAAGUCAGAUGUGAAGUCCCAGGGCUCAACCUUGGAACUGCAUCUGAUACUGGUCAGCUAGAGUUUAGGAGAGGGAAGUAGAAUUUCAGGUGUAGCGGUGAAAUGCAUAGAUAUCUGAAGGAAUACCAGUGGCGAAGGCGGCUUCCUGGCCUAAAACUGACGCUGAGGUGCGAAAGCGUGGGUAGCAAACGGGAUUAGAUACCCCAGUAGUCC